UCAACGUUCAUAAAAUGUUUUGAGGAUAUUAUUUAGUCCUGAGAUGAUAAAAUGUUUUUAAUAAAACAUUCCUUUUAAUUGACUUUUUAACAAAAGUAGAACAUUUUGCAUGAAACAUUUUGAGGAUUUUUUAGGGAUGUUGUUAUCUUUUAUAAAUCAUUGGCACAAUAACAAAGGAGGGACAUUAUCAAAGCAACAUUCAUCAAAUGUUUUGAGGACAUUAUUGGCCUGAGAUGACCAAAUCUCACAAUGUGUUAACAAAAGCUCAUAAAAUUGUAAGGAUAUUUUAGGGAAGCUGUUUAGGUAACAGAUUGUAGAAUUAUUUUAACCUAUAAAAUAUUGGCAUGAUUUUCCAUAAUAAAAGAGGAACAUUAUCAAAACAGCAUUCGUGAAGUGUUUUGAGGAUUACUCUGAACUGUUUGAACUGUUGCGCGAAAUGUGUUUACAAGAGACGAGAAGCUGAUUGGAGGCCACUGUAGAUCGACGUUUAAAACCACCAAUCACAGCGUGAUUUUCCCAUGACGUAAGAACAUUUGAAAUCGACAAACAGCGCGAAUAAAGUAACGUUUUUGUUGAAGAAAGCGGCGCAAAAUGUCCGUUGUCUAAAUUGGCUAUUUGACACAUUGGCCCAAAACAACAGAACUCCUGGUCAACGGAACUGAACUCUUUCACAACUGUAAUUACUCUGCUGAUGGUCCAUGUAUAGGACACAAUCUGGCAACUAUUGAAACAAACAUAAACCUGCAGAGGUGAAUGGAUAUGGGAGCUAAAGAGCCUUAUAACUGGCUAUGAGGAAAAACUCUACCAUGCACACAGAGAACAGAGCUCAAUGCUGCUAACUAGGCGAGCAACUGGACAACUAGAAG